UCCAACUUUACUAUUUCUCAUAUCGGAUACCCGCGAUUGAUGUAAUAUGUCAAAAGAACGGCCGACGCACGUGCGCUAACCUCUCCGUCUUCUCAGUCUUCGGCUUCGACUCCUCGAGUCCUUUCCCUUGUCGGAAAGAGAGAUGCUUGAAAACCAUACCCCAACACUAUCUGCAGCAGAUACAGCCGUCAGGCGUAAUGCUCCUUCCAAUCUAAGGAAUCGACCUCUCAACAGGCGCAAGUCGGCAGAGAAGAAUCAAGUUGGUGCUUUAAGAAACUUUCCCAUCAUCGAUAAUGGGGUUUCAGGGAGCAGCAAUCUUCUGAAUGAAAAUCAUCGAUCAGGGUUAAUAGCUUUAGAGGGAUGCUGUUGCAGUGAAGCUUCUCAGCUCUUGGAUGAUCGCUGGGCAGCUGCGUUGGAUUGCUACAAUAAUCCAUCAAUAGAUUUAUCUGAGAGACCAGUUAUGUACUCAGGAAGUGCCCCAUCAGCAUGUUUUAGACUUCUCAUCAGUUGAUGGCUCCAGUUGAUGCUGGCCCUUAUGGAUCACUUAUGGACUUCUUGGGUGAACUUCGCCGAGCACAGCGCAAUGCAAAUACCAAUUUUAGCACUUAACACAACAUCUACACAUGACUCACUUGUGACUUCUGGGGAGGUGCGGGGAAGUUAAUGGCGUGAAUCAGCCGGAUCAACGGUCAAUCAUCUAUCUCAAUUUUCAACUCAAAUACCCUACAUUAGUCUAGUUGUCAAUGAUUAAUGGCCAAGGUAUUGGUUUAAAAAAAAAAAAAAACUUUGAAUUCGAAGGCCCUUUUUUGGACGAAAUGAAUGGUUGCUUGUCUUGCUAUAAAAAAUAUUGUAGUUUGAAACUUUGAAAUCACAAUACCAAUCUGUCUGUCUGGCUGGGGCCGGGGCUGGACCUACAUUUGUCAAA